GGGGAUGGAUUUCUCCAGGUUACAGGCAAAGCAUAUGAAAAUCUGUCUUAAUCCUGAUUCCUAGUUGAACUGAGUCUUGCAUAAAGCAACAAAAGAUGAAUUUUAACCACCUCCACUUUGACUGCAUUUUCCCUCAAAUUCACCAUCUCCUCUUUCUUAAUCCUUCCAUCACAAGAUUCCUUUCACAGAAAAGGUUUCCGAAAGAUCAUGCUACACUUAUGGGUUCCAGUUGUUCAGUUUUUAUCCCCUAUUUUCUUCUCUGAACAUUGAGUUUUCAUUUACCACUGCAGGAAAAACUGUACUUGAUAGGGUUGUCAAUUAUGCCUUCUGACUGCAAAAUCUUCUUGAUGAGGUAUACUAUUACCUCAUCAAGGCAAUAGAAUAUGUCUCUUCCUCUUGGUUUUCAAGACCCCCUUACCCCACUUCCUGAUAUUUCACUAUGCUCUUCUGGCCAGCCAUUUCAGUAU
rnacentral:lncRNA from 1 species